GCCAUUUGUCCUAAAGAUGUACC
rnacentral:siRNA from 1 species